UACGUAGGGGGCAAGCGUUGUCCGGAAUUAUUGGGCGUAAAGAGCGUGUAGGCGGUCCGGUAAGUCAGCUGUGAAAGUCAAGGGCUCAACCCUUGAAUGCCGGUUGAUACUGUCGGGCUAGAGUCCGGAAGAGGCGAGUGGAAUUCCCGGUGUAGCGGUGAAAUGCGCAGAUAUCAGGAGGAACACCAAUUGCGAAGGCAGCACUCUGGGACGUGACUGACGCUGAGACGCGAAAGCGUGGGGAGCAAACAGG
rnacentral:rRNA from 1 species